rnacentral:rRNA from 1 species
AUACGAUCUAGUGGAUAGAAGGCGGGGACCGUAAGGCCUCGCGCGAUUGGAGCGGCCGAUAUCAGAUUAGGUAGUUGGUGGGUAAAGGCUCACCAAGCCAACGAUCUGUAGCUGGUCUGAGAGGACGACCAGCCACACUGGAACUGAGACACGGUCCAGACUCCUACGGGAGGCAGCAGUGGGGAAUUUGGACAAUGGACGCAAGUCUGAUCCAGCCAUUCCGCGUGCAGGAUGAAGGCCCUCGGGUUGUAAACUGCUUUGUACGGAACGAAAAGGUUUCUCUUAAUACGAGGAGCUCAUGACGGUACCGUAAGAAUAAGCACCGGCUAACUACGUG